GCGAUCGGCAGCAUCGAGCUGGACGGCUCCCACUUCCGAGUGGUGCGGGAGGGGCUGCACGGCCUCUCGCUCUUUGCCAUCGGAGACGGCUUUCUGCUCUGGACCACGGCCUCAACGAAUGGCUCCAGCAAGGUCUGGCACAGCCGACUGGAGCAGGCCAAGAGCUGGUGGUUCCCCAUGGAGCAGGAGCUGGUAGCCUUGAGGAUUUACAGCCAGAUCUCACAAGAAGGCACCCACGGCUGUGCGAAGAGCAACGGGGG
rnacentral:lncRNA from 1 species